rnacentral:misc_RNA from 1 species
GUUUCCACAUUCAAACUGAAAUUUGGCAUAUUGAUACAAUGCCUCUAUCUGGUCCGGACCAAUCUGGUACCGCUCCUGGAGCAACUGAAGAUUGUGCUGUUUGUCAGCUCUCAACUCCUGCACAGCACUGGAAUUCUGCAAAAAAGUGAUCAAUGGGGCUGCAGCUUCCUCAAGUGCUUUCAACCUUGCCACAACCUCGGCUCUCCUCUCCAUCAUUUCUUGAGGCACAUCGUCAGUAUGAUAGAGAGACUUAUGAAUAUCCAUAGCAUAAUCAACCAUGUUAGUGUGAUUAAGCAGCUCAAUCUUCGCCUUGAGUAUAUAUUCAUCUGGGUAUAAUCCCUGCUCUUGCAAAAACUCCAGUAACGGGAAAAUCAAGUGAAUGUCCAAUUGCUGCGCUACACGUGGCGUCAAAUCGUACUUCGACGCCAUGAUUGCUACUGUCGGUAAGAGAUAGCAACCACAAAACUCGCCGCCGUGCAGAACCAGAGAAACUGAAAAGAUGAGAAGUGGAUCGGUAGAAGAAAG